rnacentral:lncRNA from 1 species
AUAUCGCCAUAUUGGCCUGGGCAAAAUAUUCAGUCUAAAUUUUAGUGUAAUCAUGAAAAUCUUUUGCAAAACUAUACUUAAUUUUUUUUAAAAAAAAGUAAAAUUAUGUACACUAAUAGUAUAUAUGUAGAUGUGCAUUAUCACAAAAUUUGAGCAACUUUCAUUUGCAUAUAUGCUAGAGGACAAAAAUUCAUUUCUAUAUCCUCACUACUAGAUUUAUAUUAAGGCCUUGUUUAGUUCCGAAAAGUGAAAACUUUUCGGUACUGUAGCACUUUCGUUUGUUUGUGACAAAUAUUAUCCAAUCAUGGACUAACUAGGAUCAAAAGAUUCGUCUCGUGAUUUACAGCUAAACUGUGUAAUUAGUUUUUAUUUUCGUGUAUAUUUAAUGUUUCAUGCAUGUGUUAUAAGAUUCGAUGUGACGGGGAAUCUUGAAAAUUUUUUGGUUUUCAGAGUGAACUAAACAAGGCCUAUGUGUACACACAUAUGAAUCCAGUGGUGGUGGUGCUGCAUACCCUCAAGGGCACAUUUAACUUUGUGACCAUAGUUCUUUCAAAACAUUUAUGAACAUAGAACAACAGCAAAACCUCCUUUCUUUGUUUUUGUUCUGACUUUGGGCAUGUUCACGGUUCGUCAACAUUGCAGGAUCAGAAAAGGCUAGGCUGCACCUAUGAGGGUUAAGGGUUCGGUUGCAGUGUUCGAUGGCAUCCAAAACCAGAAAAUUGACAGAUCGAACCCAAGACAACGAUCUCAAAGAAAGAGGUUGGGAAAGAAUGUAGAACGGAAGUUAAGCUGACACAAAAUAAAAAAACGAAGGUGUGUAAUCUCAGGCAAAGCCGAAAGCAGCCUCCAUCGUACAAGUACAUAAUAUGCUCAUAGAAUAGCACAAAGGUGAUGAAGGGGUCAUCAACUCAUCAUCAUAUCGUUAAUCAUUAUAUUGCCGGCGGCGUUUCCUAUAUAUCCUACCAGCUCCGGCCGAUCUUGCGGUGGUGCGGCGUUGCCGGCGGCGCUGGUGGCGGCGGGGGAGCACCGGGGUGUCUGCUGCACUCGGGCUCAGGGUCGGGGCACAUGUGGUGCACAGUGCCUCCUCGAGGUGACGGCGGCGCCCAGCCGUCAUGCCCUCCAUCUGGCUGAGCAACUGCACGGUGCACAUAUCAAUGCAUUAUGGCCUCCAUCAUCAACAGAAAUUCUUAGUGAAGUUACAGUAAGUACUGCUCCUAAUUGGACAUGAUAUAUACAUACAACGUAACAUACCGUCGGCCUCCGAGCAGUCGACGAUGACGGAACAAGAGACGAUGACAGCCAGGAUGACCGUCAUCACAUACACGAAGCGAAGACAAGAACACCUCUUCCUCGUCAUGGUGUGGUCAGAAGUGGUGGUGUAUAGGUAUCAGUAUAGC